AAUGAACACACCACGGCGCUAGAUGUCGCUAGCGAGUGAGUGGCCACAAACGCGAGUGUUAAACGUGGUUCCUGCCAGGCAGGCAGUAGUUAGGCGGCGGAAGCCCGAGCUAACUUUCGCCCGGCUACCUCGCGUCCUACCCUGGCUUCUGCUAUUCGAACGUCCCGCGGUCGGUCGGUCGUCCCGCCCAUCAUCAGGAUCACUCCCAAACAUGGGGGAAAACAUUUUGCCACGGCGCAUGUUCCUCUGGUGCAUGGCGGCCAUUUAUUUAAGCGCAUUUGUUUCACUCUACGUGCAAAUACCAGGUCUCUAUGGCAAUGAGGGUUUGCUCCCUGCCCGCAAGCAGCUGCGCUACAGCGGCAAGCCUCUGGUUGAGCAGCUGCUGGCCUGGCCCACCCUGCUUUGGCUGAGCCCCCACCUUGGCCUGGACACCCAGACAGCCAUGGAGCUGCUCUGCCUGGUGGGGGUUGUGCUCAGUUUAGCCGCCAUGGUGGUUGGGUCACUGAGAGACAGCAUGGUGUUCUUCUGCCUCUGGGUCUUGUACUUGUCCAUGUAUCAGGUGGGGCAGGUUUUCCUCUACUUCCAAUGGGACAACCUGCUUCUGGAGGCGGGCUUCCUCUGCAUCCUCGUGGCUCCGAUGACUCUCAUCAGGGGCUCUCGGGCAGUCCGCGAGCAUGACCGCGUAACCUUUUGGCUCGUCCGAUGGCUUCUCUUCCGCCUCAUGUUUGCCUCCGGAGUGGUAAAGCUCACCUCACGCUGUCCUACUUGGUGGGGUUUAACUGCGAUGACAUAUCACUACGAAACCCAGUGCAUUCCCACCCCGCUGGCCUGGUUUGCCCACCAGUUGCCCGUGUGGUGGCAGAAGCUAAGUGUGGUGGGUGCCUUCACCAUCGAGAUUGCCGUGCCGCUGCUUUUCUUCAGUCCACUGCGCAGGCUCAGACUCGGCGCUUUCUACUUGCAAGUGAUGCUGCAAGUGUUAAUCAUUUUGUCUGGGAACUACAACUUCUUUAACCUUCUGACAUUGGCCCUUUGUCUGUCCCUGCUGGACGACCGACAUGUACGCUUCUGGCUUCGCACGUCAGAACACACUGAAAACACGGAGUCGAAGCUGUGGUCCUGGCCGUGUUGCAUACUGGAGCUUGCAGUCUUUUCUCUGGUUAUCUUUGGCGCAAUUGUUUGUUUUGAGUUGAAAGUGGACCUGUCAACGAGAUCUAUCACUUCCAAAACAGCAUUCACCUACCACCACUUCAAACAGUUUCUAAACAGUGCCACUUUCCCGUGCGUCUGGGUCGGCUUUCUAUCUCUCGUUUGGGAGAUGCUCACAGGCUUGUACAGGUGUGCGUGUGUGUCUGGUUUCCUAAGGAGGUUUUUCUCUACGCUACAGUGGACAGUGAUUGCUGGUGCUGCAGUCGCCAUGUUCACGAUCAGUCUGGUGCCUUUCACUUACGUAGACUAUGACUCAAAUUCCAAGCUGUGGCCUGGAGUGCGUCAAGCCUACAGUCUUGUGGAUCGCUACCAGUUGGUUAACUCAUAUGGACUGUUUCGAAGGAUGACUGGCGUGGGUGGGCGUCCUGAGGUUGUCAUAGAGGGAAGUAACGAUGGCGGCACCUGGACGGAAAUUGACUUUAUGUACAAACCUGGCAAUAUGAGCGCAGCACCCCCAUUGGUGACGCCCCACCAACCCCGCUUGGACUGGCAAAUGUGGUUCGCCGCCCUUGGAACCCACACAGAGGCGCCCUGGUUCACCAGCCUCAUGUAUCGACUGCUGCAGGGAAAGAUGGACGUCAUCAAGCUGAUUCAGACGGACGUCACUCGUUAUCCUUUCCACCAGCAGCCUCCUGCCUACCUGCGAGCCCACCGCUACAGAUACUGGUUUACGGAACCCAAGGCAGACGGAUCAUAUCCACAGCGCUGGUGGAGGAGGGUCUAUAAUGAAGAAUUCUAUCCUGUAGUGCAUCUGGGCCACCCGUUCCUUGAGGGCAUGCUAGACCAACAUGGUCUUAAGGACAAGUCACCUCCACGCCGGCAGUCGAACUCCGCCACGGCCCGGGCAGUGAGGUGGGUGCGCGCCCAGGUCACGGGCGUCCCCGCCCCUGUGCUCAUCUGGACCCUGCUUGGCUGCAGCGCCACUUUGUGCCUGCUGCUGGCGUUGCCCGGGAGGCAAAAAAGGAUCGUAGCCAAUUUUGAUCCAAAAGAGACUGCGCCCAAUGUUAAAAAGAUGGUGGGUGAGGAUAAAAAGGAACAUGAGAGAGGAGAGGAUGAAGACAAGGGUGAGAUGGAGGAUGCUGAUGAGGAAGAAAGGGAGGGUGUCACCAGUGAUGAUGAAAAGGAGGAAGAGGCAGAGACAGAAGAAGAAGAACACUAAGAGAAAGGGGCUGAUGUUACUAAACUAAGUAAAGAGAUUUCAGUGGGUGACUGCAAACAAGUUCUGGAAUUGUACACAACUCACUUAAACUCCUGCACCCAAGACAGCAUUUGCAGGUCUGUGUCGUCACACAGGUACAUGUAGUCGCCUUGCGAGUGCCAUGGGUAGAAGGAAUGGUAGCGGAUCAUGUUGAGACCCUGUGUGGACCGAUAACGUGGUUUAGAAUCGGGAUGUCACCGCGGUGGAGGAUAAGCCCGGCUGGCGGACGUUACUUGCCUCCUUGGGAAGGCAGCACUUGUUGAACUGGAGAACGCGGCACAUGUAAAGCAAUUUAAAUAAAUGGACUCACCAUCAUGACCCCAGGAUAUGAGGACAUUGUCAAGCCCGAUGUUUGGUUUGUAGAUUCCAUAUUUGGAGCUGAACAAAACAAUAAAACUAAAUGGAAAACUACGUCAGCAACUAAGGCUCAUUAAAAAAAUGACCAGAUUUUUGCAUUAACGUGAAAAAUUUUUCUGUAAAGGACUGUUGUACUUUGUGCUAUUGUUUUUUUUUUUUUUAACAAAUACUGCGUUUAGGUGUCAAUUUUAGCAGGAGAAUAUCUACCUACUUGUAGCUGGGAUUUGUGUCAUCUGGGUUCUCCUGGAAGGUGCUGUCUCGGAACACGAUGGAGUUUUGAAAGGUGCAGCCAACAGGGAAGGUGUCACCCACCACGGCCCACUGUGGAUAUGCGAGGAAGUUUGUGGCCAAUGGAAUAAGGAUUCUGUAUCCUGGCGUGCUCUCACAUUCCAAAGACGUCCAUGUUGGGGUCAUUUAUGGUGACCUGUCUUUAGAUGUGAAAAUGAGUGAAAGCUUGUGCCCAGUCCAGGGUGCAUCCUGCCUCUCGCCCCAAAGGGAUCUUGAAACGCUUUGUGAGUGCAUACCUUUGUCUGGGUGCUCUUUGCGGAUCCCCUCGGCCGUCUGGAAGGCGUGAAAGGAGUUAGGGAAGUCCACGUCCGGAUCGGACUCGUCCACCAGCUGGUCCAGAGACAUGACGGCAUCCAUCAUGGACAUCUCAGCGUGGCUGCAACCGCUCCAUUCCAAGUGCUACGUGGAAGCCCCAAAUGGAUCAGUAUCUUCUAUUUUAUUCUCUUCUGGUUUUCGUAAUGCUGCUUGUGAUGCUAUCUGAAUGUCGAUAUCACAAAGUUAUGAUUCAUUCUGGGACACACCAUACUGAAACCUCUUCAAACAUAAAAGGCCUGACGGGCCUUAAGGAAACUGGAUAUUGGUUACAUUUUUGAAUUUUAGUCAAAACGAUUCAAAAUUGGACCAAUAUCCAAUUUCGGUAGGAGGUCUCUUAUUUUGAUUAAAUGUAAUAAUAACCAGUGUGCGUUCAUGAAGGACUCUAAAUCUGUUAUUUACUGUGAAGAGACUGAAAUUAUGAGGAUUUAGUCAAUUUGAGGUUGAUCCAGUUUCUAUUAUACAAUUAUACGAUUAUACAAUUA